AUGAACGCUAGCGACAGGCUUAACACAUGCAAGUCGAGGGGCAGCAUGAUUUGUAGCAAUACAGAUUGAUGGCGACCGGCGCACGGGUGAGUAACGCGUAUGCAACUUACCUAUCAGAGGGGGAUAGCCCGGCGAAAGUCGGAUUAAUACCCCAUAAAACAGGGGUCCCGCAUGGGAAUAUUUGUUAAAGAUUCAUCGCUGAUAGAUAGGCAUGCGUUCCAUUAGGCAGUUGGCGGGGUAACGGCCCACCAAACCGACGAUGGAUAGGGGUUCUGAGAGGAAGGUCCCCCACAUUGGUACUGAGACACGGACCAAACUCCUACGGGAGGCAGCAGUGAGGAAUAUUGGUCAAUGGCCGAGAGGCUGAACCAGCCAAGUCGCGUGAAGGAAGAAGGAUCUAUGGUUUGUAAACUUCUUUUAUAGGGGAAUAAAGUGGAGGACGUGUCCUUUUUUGUAUGUACCCUAUGAAUAAGCAUCGGCUAACUCCGUGCCAGCAGCCGCGGUAAUACGGAGGAUGCGAGCGUUAUCCGGAUUUAUUGGGUUUAAAGGGUGCGUAGGUGGUGAUUUAAGUCAGCGGUGAAAGUUUGUGGCUCAACCAUAAAAUUGCCGUUGAAACUGGGUUACUUGAGUGUGUUUGAGGUAGGCGGAAUGCGUGGUGUAGCGGUGAAAUGCAUAGAUAUCACGCAGAACUCCGAUUGCGAAGGCAGCUUACUAAACCAUAACUGACACUGAAGCACGAAAGCGUGGGGAUCAAACAGGAUUAGAUACCCUGGUAGUCCACGCAGUAAACGAUGAUUACUAGGAGUUUGCGAUACAAUGUAAGCUCUACAGCGAAAGCGUUAAGUAAUCCACCUGGGGAGUACGCCGGCAACGGUGAAACUCAAAGGAAUUGACGGGGACCCGCACAAGCGGUGGAGCAUGUGGUUUAAUUCGAAGCAACGCGAAGAACCUUACCAGUCCUUGACAUCCCGAUGACCGACCUGUAACGAGGUCUUCUCUUCGGAGCAUCGGAGACAGGUGGUGCAUGGUUGUCGUCAGCUCGUGCCGUGAGGUGUCGGCUUAAGUGCCAUAACGAGCGCAACCCUUAUCACUAGUUACUAACAGGUGAAGCUGAGGACUCUGGUGAGACUGCCAGCGUAAGCUGUGAGGAAGGUGGGGAUGACGUCAAAUCAGCACGGCCCUUACAUCCGGGGCGACACACGUGUUACAAUGGCAUGGACAAAGGGCAGCUACCUGGUGACAGGAUGCUAAUCUCCAAACCAUGUCUCAGUUCGGAUCGGAGUCUGCAACUCGACUCCGUGAAGCUGGAUUCGCUAGUAAUCGCGCAUCAGCCAUGGCGCGGUGAAUACGUUCCCGGGCCUUGUACACACCGCCCGUCAAGCCAUGGGAGCCGGGGGUACCUGAAGUCCGUAACCGCAAGGAUCGGCCUAGGGUAAAACUGGUGACUGGGGCU
rnacentral:rRNA from 1 species